rnacentral:miRNA from 1 species
ACUCAUUUUGUAGACCAGGCUGGCCUCAAAGUCACAGAGAUCCGCCUGCCUCUGCCUCCUGAGUGCUGGGAU